GACGAACGCUGGCGGCGUGCUUAACACAUGCAAGUCGAACGGAAAGGCCCUGCUUUUGUGGGGUGCUCGAGUGGCGAACGGGUGAGUAACACGUGAGUAACCUGCCCUUGACUUUGGGAUAACUUCAGGAAACUGGGGCUAAUACCGGAUAGGAGCUCCUGCUGCAUGGUGGGGGUUGGAAAGUUUCGGCGGUUGGGGAUGGACUCGCGGCUUAUCAGCUUGUUGGUGGGGUAGUGGCUUACCAAGGCUUUGACGGGUAGCCGGCCUGAGAGGGUGACCGGCCACAUUGGGACUGAGAUACGGCCCAGACUCCUACGGGAGGCAGCAGUGGGGAAUAUUGCACAAUGGGCGGAAGCCUGAUGCAGCAACGCCGCGUGCGGGAUGACGGCCUUCGGGUUGUAAACCGCUUUCGCCUGUGACGAAGCGUGAGUGACGGUAAUGGGUAAAGAAGCACCGGCUAACUACGUGCCAGCAGCCGCGGUGAUACGUAGGGCGCGAGCGUUGUCCGGAUUUAUUGGGCGUAAAGGGCUCGUAGGUGGUUGAUCGCGUCGGAAGUGUAAUCUUGGGGCUUAACCCUGAGCGUGCUUUCGAUACGGGUUGACUUGAGGAAGGUAGGGGAGAAUGGAAUUCCUGGUGGAGCGGUGGAAUGCGCAGAUAUCAGGAGGAACACCAGUGGCGAAGGCGGUUCUCUGGGCCUUUCCUGACGCUGAGGAGCGAAAGCGUGGGGAGCGAACAGGCUUAGAUACCCUGGUAGUCCACGCUGUAAACGGUGGGUACUAGGUGUGGGGUCCAUUCCACGGGUUCCGUGCCGUAGCUAACGCUUUAAGUACCCCGCCUGGGGAGUACGGCCGCAAGGCUAAAACUCGAAGGAAUUGACGGGGCCCCGCACAAGCGGCGGAGCAUGCGGAUUAAUUCGAUGCAACGCGUAGAACCUUACCUGGGUUUGACAUGGAUCGGGAGUGCUCAGAGAUGGGUGUGCCUCUUUUGGGGUCGGUUCACAGGUGGUGCAUGCCUGUCGUCAGCUCGUGUCGUGAGAUGUUGGGUUAAGUCCCGCAACGAGCGCAACCCUUGUUCACUGUUGCCAGCACGUUAUGGUGGGGACUCAGUGGAGACCGCCGGGGUCAACUCGGAGGAAGGUGGGGAUGACGUCAAGUCCUCAUGCCCCUUAUGUCCAGGGCUUCACGCAUGCUACAAUGGCUGGUACAGAGAGUGGCGAGCCUGUGAGGGUGAGCGAAUCUCGGAAAGCCGGUCUCAGUUCGGAUUGGGGUCUGCAACUCGACCUCACGAAGUCGGAGUCGCUAGUAAUCGCAGAUCAGCAACGCUGCGGUGAAUACGUUCCCGGGGCU
rnacentral:rRNA from 1 species